UGAGCUCCUACUGAGUACACUACAUGGAUGU
rnacentral:piRNA from 1 species